rnacentral:rRNA from 1 species
GAUGAACGCUGGCGGCGUGCCUAAUACAUGCAAGUCGAGCGAACAGACGAGGAGCUUGCUCCUCUGACGUUAGCGGCGGACGGGUGAGUAACACGUGGAUAACCUACCUAUAAGACUGGGAUAACUUCGGGAAACCGGAGCUAAUACCGGAUAACAUGUUGAACCGCAUGGUUCAACAGUGAAAGACGGUCUUGCUGUCACUUAUAGAUGGAUCCGCGCCGCAUUAGCUAGUUGGUAGGUAACGGGUUACCAAGGCAAAGAUGCGUAGCCGACCUGAGAGGGUGAUCGGCCACACUGGAACUGAGACACGGUCCAGACUCCUACGGGAGGCAGCAGUAGGGAAUCUUCCGGAAUGGGCGAAAGCCUGACGGAGCAACGCCGCGUGAGUGAAGAAGGUCUUCGGAUCGUAAAACUCUGUUAUUAGGGAAGAACAAAUGUGUAAGUAACUAUGCACGUCUUGACGGUACCUAAUCAGAAAGCCACGGCUAACUACGUG